rnacentral:rRNA from 1 species
CUAAUACAUGCAAGUCGAGCGAAUGGAUGAAGAUCUUGCUCUUAUGAAGUUAGCGGCGGACGGGUGAGGAAUACGUGGGUGACCUGCCCAGGAGACUGGCAUAACUCCGGGAAACCGGGGAUAAUACCGGAUAACAUUUUGAACCGGAUGGUUCUUCAUUGAUCGGCGGCUUCGGCUGUCCCUUGUGGAUGGACCCGCGUCGCAUUAGCUAGGUGGUGAGGGAACAGCUCACCAAGGCGACCAUGCGUGACCAACCUGAGAGGGUGAUCGGCCACACUGGGACUGACACACGGCCCAGACUCCUAGGGGAGGUUGAAGUAAGGAAUCUUCCCCAAUGGACGACAGGCUGACGGAGCAACGACGCGUUCGUGAUGAAGGCUUUCUGAUCUUAAAACUCUGUGGUUAGGGAUAAACUGGUGCUAGUUUAAUAAUUUGGCACCUUGACGGUACCUAACCAGAACGCCCCGGCUAACUACGUGCCCGCAACCGCGGUAAUAC